rnacentral:lncRNA from 1 species
AUGGCUGGGGCCGCCACAGCAGCUGCAGCGGCCGCGGCUGUAGCUACCGCCACGGCGGCCUCGUCAACAAAGUUGUCGUCGUCGACCCCGUAUCUAACUUCGUCUUCCACGUUUUCAUCGUCUACGACCAUCCCGCCCCCGGUAACGAUGUUGUCGUCCCAGUUACCCUGGACACCGGAUUCCCCGAUGCAGAUCGGCUUCGUGGGUGCAGGCCGCAUGGCCGAAGCUAUCGCGAUGGGCAUCAUCGUGUCAGGAAAAGUGGAAGCUAACAACGUAAUGGCGAGUGCUCCAUCAGACAAGAACCUGUGGCACUUUCAGGUGAGUUAAGGUCCCUGGCGAAAGUUGAUGGAAUAGUAGGGGAUUGGCUACAUUUGAUUUCUGUGGUCCAGGUUCCCAAAUGAGCUCAUUGUAGCCCAUUCCUAAGCAGAAACAUAGGCUCCCUGGGGAUUUUGAUUUUCAUCUAUAUUUUUUCCUCUUCUUUAUGUGAAGCCUUAUAAUGGAAAAUUGGGUCAGGUCUGUGAGUGGGAGAAAUUUGUUACUGAUGGUCAUGUCAGAGAUAUCGGGUCAUUGAAGGUAUUUCCUAUCUUAUUGGGGGCAGGAGGCAGCUGGGAACUUUCAUCAUAGCUCUCAUUCAAGGAAGGAGUGGCACAGAAAUACCCCCUUGCCACUCUCAACCCCCUGGGAAGACCUAAGAGUCUGUGAAUUGAAUCUUACGCCAUAAUCAACCAGUUGAAGUUGACCAAUCAGGGACCUCUGCUCUGUUACCUUGUUUGUUUGUUUUUAGCAAGGCAGUGUUGUAUAGUGGAUAGAGUUCUGGAUGUAGGGUCAGGAAGGCCUGGAUUCACUCACCAUUAACACCGUGUUACCAUAACCAAAUUACCUAAUCUCUCUCAGUUUCAAUUUCCUCAUCUGUAAAAUGGGAAUAAUAAUACCCAUGGAUUGUUGCCAAGUUCAUAUGAGAUCAAAUAAGUAUUUAGUAAGUACCUACUAUAUAUAAAGCACUUUUCAAACCUAAAGGCACUGUAUAAAAUGUCAGCCGGUUUUCAUCUUUGGCACAGAAUUUGGGCUGUAGGACAACUCAUUCCAACACCGAAGUACUUCAGAACUGCAACAUAGUUUUUUUUGCCACCAAGCCCCACAUCCUGCCUAUUGUACUGGCUGAGGUUUCUCCUGCUGUCACCAGGAAACAUGUCCUUGUCUCAGUGGCUGCUGGUGUCUCUCUGCACACCCUGGAGAAGGUAAGCGUUCUGAGCCUUUUUCCCCCCUUUCUCCCCAGCUUUUCAACAUGAAGAGCACAGCCAUAUGCUUUGGCUUGUCCUUAGUUUCU